CGGGGUGUAGCAUAAUGGUAGUGUUUGCGGUUUGGGACCGCACGGCCCGGGUUCGAUUCCCGGCACCCCGA
rnacentral:tRNA from 1 species